AUGGCUACCAUCAGCGCCGCCGCGGCGACCACCGUCGUCGCCCGUGCCGCCAUCGCCAGGCCGCAGGCCCUAGGUCUGCCCCAGCUGAGGACGAGGAGCGAGAGGGUGAGGUGCAGCUACUCCAAGGACGCCAAGGAGGCGACCCCGGCGGCCGCCGUCCGCGGGGCCGGCGCGUCCCUGCUCGCCGCGGCGGGCGCGGUGACCGCGUCCGCGGGGCCGGCGCUCGCUCUGGUCGACGAGCGGAUGUCGACGGAGGGCACCGGGCUCAGCCUGGGGCUGAGCAACAACCUGCUGGGGUGGAUCCUCCUGGGCGUCUUCGGCCUCAUCUGGUCGCUCUACACCGUCUACACCUCCGGCCUCGACGAGGACGAGGAGUCCGGCGGCCUCUCGCUCUAA
rnacentral:rRNA from 1 species